rnacentral:tRNA from 1 species
GGGAAUUUAGUUCAGUCGGUUAGAACGCAUGACUGUUAAUCAUGAUGUCCCAGGUUCGAAUCCUGGAGUUCCCG